UCUGGGGUUCGAGGCGCCAGGCUCCGUCCGUCUCUCUCAAAGGCAAGCAGUGAUGUUGCUUCAAUAGAGAGAGGAGGGAAAUCGAUCAGUUGGGUGGGAUCCAGGUUUGUCUGAUCAUCAUCAUCAUCAUCAUCAUCCUUUUUGAACUGUCAUUAGUCCAUUUUUUGUACAUAAGAAAAUACCAUUAGGCCACUGCUUCAACAAGACAAGUGGUUAGGUAAAAUAAAUAUUAUUUGUAAUUGUUCAUUUUUCCUUGUCUCUGGGUGUUGGUUCAUCACCAGAGGCUUCCUCUCCAAUCAGAUCCAGAUGUUUCACUAACAGAGGCCUGUUCUUUCCACACCUUUAUCAGUGCUAAUGCCAGAACCACCAACACAUUUGGAUCCGUCCUCAACAAAUUAUCUAACGUGGGAGAAAAAUGUCUAUUUUUUCUUUAACACAAUGGACCCUACAAUACGAGAGAUGUUUUUUGUGUGUGAACUGAAAGAACUUAAGUUGACUUGAGCCACACAUUUUUGAAAUCCAUCAAAUCACACAACAUUUCUUCUCUCAUCAUUAUUUUUGGGGGGUCUUUAUAAAUUGAGCUCUUCUCCAUUUCUUCAUAGUAUUUUAACUGCCAUGAACAACUUUCUCAACAUUUGUAUGUGUGGGAAUUUCCAAGGUGAAGACGAAACUUAUCCACAUCAGGCAUUGAUUUGGUUUAGUUUGUUUUUUUGUUACUGAUCUCUGUUUCUGGAAAUAACUUUUAAAAAAUCCUUCUUAAAUGUUUCCUGAAAUGCCCUGACUUUAUCUUACCCUACAGCGCCAAACACAUUAUUUCUGACACAAAUAUUUCUAAUGCCUUUACUGCAUCUAUUCCUCAGAAAUCUACUGUAUCCAGUGAAAGUGGUGAACUGUAUCUUAUACUAGCUCUGUAAAAAUAAAGUCUAGUGUAUCAUUGUGAUGCAAAAAAUGUGAAAAAGAAUAUUAAGAAAGAGUGAUAAAACUAGAUAUUGUUUAAAAAAUGGUUUAUUAAAACAUUACAUUAAAAUCAUUUGUAUCUGACUUUAAAUAGUUAACAUUUCCCCAUAAAACUGUGAAAUCUUAAAUAAUCAUGCGACUUUUAUCAUAUAUACAUUCAAAACACGUUUUUAUACAUAAGAACUUUUUGUUUGCAACAUGAUGACAAAGCAUUCAAUAGUUUUUUCUUUAUCAUUUCUCAGAACAGAAGAACACUUUUUUGCAUGAAUUUGAGCAUAAUGCACUAAAUGCCAGCAGCUUUUGAAGAACAAAAAGGCUGAUUUACAGAGUCAAGAUUAAAAAAUAAACAAAAAACACCAAACCACACAGAUUUAAAGCUUUAUCCUUGCUUUUAAAUGAAAGUGUGUGAGGGUCCUUUGCUGUGGAUUACUAAUUCCAGACUGCCACCUGUUGGACAGAUCUGUCAAACUUUCCCAGCAGCUACUCUAUCAGAAAGUUAACCCACAUUUAGAGUUAUAUAUUUUGUAUUUUAUCACUCCACACUAAUCUUCAUGGUGCAAUAUUGAACAUUUUAAGAUUUAGAAUAUACUUUUAUAAUUAUUUUGUAAGCAUUAUUUGUUUUACUUACCCAGGAAAUACGGAAAACACUGCACUGCAUUGUAUUUUCUGUCAUCUGUAAGCACAAAACAUGAAAUUUAAAAUACUUUAUAUUGUUCUGUACACUUACAAUUACCCUGUAUUAGUUCUGGUGUCACCUAAUAAACCAAAGUUGACUCUUCAGAGCUGAUUUGCUUCUUGAGAUUCUUGGAACCUGGUCAAAAUACGUCCACUCUCCCUCUGAAACAGCAUCUUUCCUUUCCUCGCAAAAUGCAAACUAAUGCAAAAUGAAUAGUUAAAAUUAAAACUGCACAUGCUGAGCUUUUCCAGACUUUUUACAGUCUAUACAUUAAGAUUCAGAUGCUCUAGUUUCUACAAUGUACCAGAUGUUGACUCAGUAUUAGUACUUUAGCAUAAAUCAUGGAAUAAACUCUUAUCCUUAAAUGUCUUAGUUAAAAGUAUCAGAUCACACAUUUUCAAUUAAAAAAUAAAAAAAGAUAGCAUUUUGAGGCUCGUUCUCUGUAUAUUAAGUGACAUACAGCCGGUUGUAAAUCCUGUAAAGGAAUGGUUUACUUUCCAUCUUUUCAUUGGUACUAUGUAAUUAUAAUACGCCCAGCUGUACUCUGUAAUUAUUGCAUGGAUUAACAAGGAUGGACUUGGUUUUUCUUCACUCAUAUAUCAUUGGAAGUUCGUGAAGUCUUUUUAUGUCCCACAACGUCUUCAUUUUAUAUAUUUAUUAUAAAAUGUAUCUUUUCCACAUUGUACACAGGUAUAUACAGAUUUUAAUUGUUAUCAACAACAACAUAAUACUAAUACUAACAAUAAUAAUAAUAAUGAACAUAAUUAUUCUUAUUUUCUCUUCAUUCCUCCAGACUCAGUGAAACACAACUUUUAUUUAAAAAUAAAAUACAGCAUUUACUUUUAUUUCUAUAAAACAAAUUUGGAUCACUGAGCAGUCCAGGCUUCUUAUAUCAUGUAAGAAGCUUCUGGCACUUUCUCUGUUUCAACAGUAUCUUAAAACAAGGAGUGUUUUGAAACAUACCCAUGUUCUGUAUAUUUCUGUGUGUGGUGACUCUGAUAAACAAUCCUCUGUUAAAA